rnacentral:rRNA from 1 species
UCAACUUGAGAGUUUGAUCCUGGCUCAGAACGAACGCUGGCGGCAGGCUUAACACAUGCAAGUCGAACGCCCUCUUCGGAGGGAGUGGCAGACGGGUGAGUAACACGUGGGAACCUACCUAGGGGUACGGAAUAACUCGGGGAAACUCGUGCUAAUACCGUAUACGACCUUCGGGUGAAAGAUUUAUCGCCCCUAGAUGGGCCCGCGCUGGAUUAGCUAGUUGGUGGGGUAAAAGCCUACCAAGGCGACGAUCCAUAGCUGGUCUGAGAGGAUGAUCAGCCACACUGGGACUGAGACACGGCCCAGACUCCUACGGGAGGCAGCAGUGGGGAA